UACAGAGGGUGCAAGCGUUAAUCGGAAUUACUGGGCGUAAAGCGCACGUAGGUGGAAUAGAAAGUUGGAUGUGAAAGCCCUGGGCUCAACCUGGGAACUGCAUUCAAAAACUACUAAUCUAGAGUACAGGAGAGGAAGUGGAAUUUUCCGGUGUAGUGGUGAAAAUACGUAGAUAUCGGAAAAGGAAAACACCAAUGGCGAAGGGCAACUUCCUGGACUGAUACUUUGACACUGAGGUGCGAAAGCGUGGGAGCAAACAGGGA
rnacentral:rRNA from 1 species